rnacentral:rRNA from 1 species
UACAGAGGUCUCAAGCGUUGUUCGGAUUCAUUGGGCGUAAAGGGUGCGUAGGUGGCGCCGUAAGUCGGGUGUGAAAUUUCGGAGCUUAACUCCGAAACUGCAUUCGAUACUGCGGUGCUUGAGGACUGGAGAGGAGACUGGAAUUCAUGGUGUAGCGGUGAAAUGCGCAGAUAUCAGGAAGAACACCAAUGGCGAAGGCAGCUCUCUGGGACGGUACUGACACUGAGACGCGAAAGCGUGGGGAGCGAACAGG